ACGGGGUGCAGCAGGCGCGAAACCUUCACAAUGUGCGAAAGCGCGAUGAGGGGAUCCCAAGUGCUUGCUCGUAAGAGUAAGCUGUUUUUAUGUCUAAAACGCAUAGAGAGUAAGGGCUGGGUAAGACGGGUGCCAGCCGCCGCGGUAAUACCUGCAGCUCAAGUGGUGACCGCUAUUAUUGGGCCUAAAACAUUCGUAGCCGGUUUGGUAAAUGCCUGGGUAAAUCGUGUAGCUUAACUAUACGAAUUCCGGGUAGACUGCCAAACUUGAGACCGGGAGAAGCUAGAGGUACUCCUUGGGUAGAGGUGAAAUUCUGUAAUCCUAGGGGGACCACCAGUGGCGAAGGCGUCUAGCUAGAACGGGUUUGACGGUGAGGAAUGAAGCCCUGGGGCGCAAACCGGAUUAGAUACCCGGGUAGUCCAGGGUGUAAACGCUGCUUGCUUGAUGUUAGUUGGGCUCCGAGCCCAAUUAGUGUCGGAGAGAAGUUGUUAAGCAAGCUGCCUGGAAGUACGAUCGCAAGAU
rnacentral:rRNA from 1 species